rnacentral:rRNA from 1 species
CCUANGGGUGGCUGCAGUUCGGAAUAUUGGGCAAUGGGCGCAAGCCUGACCCAGCGACGCCGCGUGGAGGAUGAAGGCCCUCUGGGUUGUAAACUUCUGUCACGGGUGAACAAAUCAGUUCGAGUUAACACCUCGGACUGUUGAGCUUAGCCUGGGAGGAAGCCCCCGCUAAUCACGUGCCAGCAGCGGCGGUAAUACGUGAGGGGCGAACGUUGUUCGGUGUCACUGGGCUUAAAGGGUGCGUAGGCGGCUGUGCAAGUAAGGUGUGAAAGCCCUCGGCUUACCCGGGGAACUGCGCCUUAAACUGCAUGGCUUGAGGGCCACAGGGGUUGGAGGAACUCCAGGUGUAGCGGUGAAAUGCGUAGAUAUCUGGGGGAAGGCCGGUAGCGAAGGCGUCCAACUGGGUGGUACCUGACGCUGAGGCACGAAAGCGUGGGGAGCAAACAGGAUUAGAUACCCUGNUANUC